rnacentral:lncRNA from 1 species
GGCCCUCUUAUGAAUCAUCUAUGCCUCGAAGGAGUCUCCCCAUGGCGAAGCCUUAAAAAUAGCUUCAUCAGACCCUAUGGCUCUUCUCGGAGCUGAUCCACCAGCUGCUCUCCACCAUCACGCCAUCUCUAGAUGCUCCUGGGUCCCAGCGAGUAGGCCCGACAGCCUGACUUUCCUCUGUUCACCGGAGUGGGAUUGAUGAAGCACAUCCUGAACUGCCCAGUCCCAGGGGCCUCGUGGGUUCUCCCGGGACCACAUUCAACGGCCCCGUGGACGCCUCCCACUCCUCAGAUGCAGAUGCAGAGAACUGUGAUCCUGCUGACCCAACUACCUAAGGAAUACAAGUGAAUGCUGCUGCUGCUCACGGGUCUUAAAGGACUGGAACUGGAGCCCAUUCCCACUCAUUCACUCGCUUGGUUUUCAGUGGACAAUUCUGGGACCUCUCCUCUGGACAGCUGGCGUCCCACUGGAAUUUCCUAUCCUCCAUGUAAUAAAACUGUCACCAAGCUCAUGAAAAAUGAUCAGGAGCGCUUAUUAGAGGCAGAUUCAUGCUGCUUCCGAUGACCCCUCCCCACGUGGGGCUCCCUCCCCCGCUCCAUCCCUUCCUCCCCGGAACUGCCCCUCCGGGUCGGGAGCCCUCUGGGAUUCAGGGUUUUCCGUAUAAGGCUUCAGACCCCGGUUUCCUUCGUCCGAAAUUCACCAAGGAUACGUGCAGAGAUGCAGACGCAGUCCCAGGUUCCUGGGCGCCCAGCCCUUGGAGCGGAAGGAAAUCAGGAAACCCUAGUUUCCCGAGGACCCCAUGCCGCCUUCCCCGACGCCAGGAGCCACCGUCUCUCGGGGUCAGUGUGCACCUAUACCUGGGGCUUCGGACAAAGGCUGGCUGCUCUGAUGCCAAGGACUUCAUGUCGACAACCGUGAGGAGAACCAGAAGGGGAGGAUCACAGUUCUGA